AUUGAACGCUGGCGGCAGGCCUAACACAUGCAAGUCGAGCGGAUGAAGGGAGCUUGCUCCUGGAUUCAGCGGCGGACGGGUGAGUAAUGCCUAGGAAUCUGCCUGGUAGUGGGGGAUAACGUCCGGAAACGGGCGCUAAUACCGCAUACGUCCUGAGGGAGAAAGUGGGGGAUCUUCGGACCUCACGCUAUCAGAUGAGCCUAGGUCGGAUUAGCUAGUUGGUGGGGUAAAGGCCUACCAAGGCGACGAUCCGUAACUGGUCUGAGUGGAUGAUCAGUCACACUGGAGCUGAGACGCGGUCCAGACUCCUACGGGAGGCAGCAGUGGGGAAUAUUGGACAGUGGGCGAAAGCCUGGUCCAGCCAUGCCGCGUGUGUGAAGAAGGUCUUCGGAUUGUAAAGCACUUUAAGUUGGGAGGAAGGGCAGUAAGUUAAUACCUUGCUGUUUUGACGGUACCAACAGAAUAAGCACCGGCUAACUUCGUG
rnacentral:rRNA from 1 species